rnacentral:rRNA from 1 species
UACGGAGGGUGCAAGCGUUAUCCGGAUUUACUGGGUUUACAGGGUGCGUAGGUGGACUGGUAAGUCCGUGGUGAAAUCCCAGAGCUUAACUUGGGAACUGCCAUGGAUACUAUUAGUCUUGAAUUUUCUGGAGGUUAGCGGAAUAUGUCAUGUAGCGGUGAAAUGCUUAGAUAUGACAUAGAACACCGAUUGCGAAGGCAGCUGGCUACAGAAACAUUGACACUGAGGCACGAAAGCGUGGGGAUCAAACAGG